rnacentral:rRNA from 2 species
GGAUGGAUCACCUCCUU